AUUGAACGCUGGCGGCAUGCUUUACACAUGCAAGUCGAACGGUAACAGGCCGCAAGGUGCUGACGAGUGGCGAACGGGUGAGUAAUGCAUCGGAACGUGCCCAGUCGUGGGGGAUAACGCAGCGAAAGCUGUGCUAAUACCGCAUACGAUCUAUGGAUGAAAGCGGGGGACCGUAAGGCCUCGCGCGCUUGGAGCGGCCGAUGUCAGAUUAGGGAGUUGGUGGGGUAAAGGCUCACCAAGCCAACGAUCUGUAGCUGGUCUGAGAGGACGACCAGCCACACUGGGAGUGAGACACGGCCCAGACUCCUACGGGAGGCAGCAGUGGGGAAUUUUGGACAAUGGGCGCAAGCCUGAUCCAGCAAUGCCGCGUGCAGGAAGAAGGCCUUCGGGUUGUAAACUGCUUUUGUACGGAACGAAAAGGUUUGGGUUAAUACCCUGGGCCGAUGACGGUACCGUAAGAAUAAGCACCGGCUAACUACGUGCCAGCAGCCGCCGUAAAAC
rnacentral:rRNA from 1 species